rnacentral:rRNA from 1 species
CCUACGGGAGGCAGCAGUGAGGAAUAUUGGUCAAUGGACGAGAGUCUGAACCAGCCAAGUAGCGUGAAGGAUGACUGCCCUAUGGGUUGUAAACUUCUUUUAUAUGGGAAUAAAAUGUUCCACGUGUGGGCUUUUGUAUGUACCAUAUGAAUAAGGAUCGGCUAACUCCGUGCCAGCAGCCGCGGUAAUACGGAGGAUCCGAGCGUUAUCCGGAUUUAUUGGGUUUAAAGGGAGCGUAGGUGGAUUGUUAAGUCAGUUGUGAAAGUUUGCGGCUCAACCGUAAAAUUGCAGUUGAAACUGGCAGUCUUGAGUACAGUAGAGGUGGGCGGAAUUCGUGGUGUAGCGGUGAAAUGCUUAGAUAUCACGAAGAACUCCGAUUGCUAAGGCAGCUCACUGGACUGCAACUGACACUGAGGCUCGAAAGUGUGGGUAUCAAACAGGAUUAGAUACCCGUGUAGUC